CCAGACUCCUACGGGAGGCAGCAGUGAGGAAUAUUGGUCAAUGGGCGAGAGCCUGAACCAGCCAAGUCGCGUGAGGGAUGACUGCCCUAUGGGUUGUAAACCUCUUUUGUAUGGGGGGAAUAAGCUUUACGAGUAGAGUGAUGACAGUACCAUACGAAUAAGCCACGGCUAACUACGUGCCAGCAGCCGCGGUAAUACGUAGGUGGCAAGCGUUGUCCGGAUUUACUGGGUGUAAAGGGCGUGUAGCCGGGCUGACAAGUCAGAUGUGAAAUCCGGGGGCUCAACCCCCGAACUGCAUUUGAAACUGUUGGUCUUGAGUAUCGGAGAGGCAGGCGGAAUUCCUAGUGUAGCGGUGAAAUGCGUAGAUAUUAGGAGGAACACCAGUGGCGAAGGCGGCCUGCUGGACGACAACUGACGGUGAGACGCGAAAGCGUGGGGAGCAAACAGGAUUAGAUACCCCGGUA
rnacentral:rRNA from 1 species